rnacentral:rRNA from 1 species
GACGAACGCUGGCGGCGUGCCUAAUACAUGCAAGUCGAGCGGACCAAACAGGAGCUUGCUCUUGUUUGGUUAGCGGCGGACGGGUGAGUAACACGUGGGUAACCUGCCCGUAAGACCGGGAUAACUCCGGGAAACCGGAGCUAAUACCGGAUAACACCGAAGACCGCAUGGUCUUUGGUUGAAAGGCGGCUUCGGCUGCCACUUACGGAUGGGCCCGCGGCGCAUUAGCUAGUUGGUGAGGUAACGGCUCACCAAGGCGACGAUGCGUAGCCGGCCUGAGAGGGUGACCGGCCACACUGGGACUGAGACGCGGCCCAGACUCCUACGGGAGGCAGCAGUAGGGAAUCUUCCGCAAUGGACGAAAGUCUGACGGAGCGACGCCGCGUGAGCGAAGAAGGUCUUCGGAUCGUAAAGCUCUGUUGUUAGGGAAGAAGAAGCGCCGUUCGAACAGGGCGGCGCGGUGACGGUACCUAACGAGAAAGCCCCGGCUAACUACGU